rnacentral:rRNA from 1 species
CCCUUAGAUGUUCUGGGCUGCACGCGCGCUACACUGAAGCGUUCAACGAGUAUUCACCUUGCCCGGGAGGGUUGGGUAAUCUUUUUAAAACGCUUCGUGAUGGGGAUAGAUUAUUGCAAUUAUUAAUCUUCAACGAGGAAUUCCUAGUAAGCGCGAGUCAUCAGCUCGUGCUGAUUACGUCCCUGCCCUUUGUACACACCGCCCGUCGCUACUACCGAUUGAACGGUUUAGUGAGGGCCUCGGAUUGGUCUCGGCCCGCUCUUUACCGGGCGGCGCCGUUGGUCGAGAAGACGCUCGAACUUGAUCGUUUAGAGGAAGUAAAAGUCGUAACA